AACGAACGCUGGCGGCAUGCCUAACACAUGCAAGUCGAACGAGACCUUCGGGUCUAGUGGCGCACGGGUGCGUAACGCGUGGGAACCUGCCCUUAGGUUCGGAAUAACUCCCCGAAAGGGGUGCUAAUACCGGAUAAUGUCUUCGGACCAAAGAUUUAUCGCCUUUGGAUGGGCCCGCGUUGGAUUAGCUAGUUGGUAGGGUAAAAGCCUACCAAGGCGACGAUCCAUAGCUGGUCUGAGAGGAUGAUCAGCCACACUGGGACUGAGACACGGCCCAGACUCCUACGGGAGGCAGCAGUGGGGAAUCUUGGACCAUGGGCGAAAGCCUGAUCCAGCAAUGCCGCGUGAGUGAUGAAGGCCUUAGAGUUGUAAAGCUCUUUUACCCGGGAUGAUAAUGACAGUACCGGGAGAAUAAGCUCCGGCUAACUCCGUG
rnacentral:rRNA from 1 species